rnacentral:rRNA from 1 species
GAUUUCGACGGAGAGUUUGAUCCUGGCUCAGGACGAACGCUGGCGGCGGGCCUAACACAUGCAAGUCGAACGCACUCGACCUUCGGGUCACAUGAGUGAGUGGCGAACG